rnacentral:ribozyme from 13 species
UUCUUUUCUUUUCUUUUCUUUUCUUUUCUCCCUUUUUGCUUCUUUGCUUUCUUAAACUAUUAGAGGAGAUUGAGGAAAGAGGGGCGUACGGAGGGUUUUUUG